rnacentral:rRNA from 1 species
GAUGAACGCUGGCGGCGUGCCUAAUACAUGCAAGUCGAGCGAACAGACGAGGAGCUUGCUCCUCUGACGUUAGCGGCGGACGGGUGAGUAACACGUGGAUAACCUACCUAUAAGACUGGGAUAACUUCGGGAAACCGGAGCUAAUACCGGAUAAUAUAUUGAACCGCAUGGUUCAAUAGUGAAAGACGGUUUUGCUGUCACUUAUAGAUGGAUCCGCGCCGCAUUAGCUAGUUGGUAAGGUAACGGCUUACCAAGGCAACGAUGCGUAGCCGACCUGAGAGGGGGAUCGGCCACACUGGAACUGAGCAACGGUCCAGACUCCUACGGGGGGCAGCAGUAGGGAAUCUUCCGCAAAGGGCGAAAGCCUGACGGAGCAACGCCGCGUGAGUGAUGAAGGUCUUCGGAUCGUAAAACUCUGUUAUUAGGGAAGAACAAAUGUGUAAGUAACUAUGCACGUCUUGACGGUACCUAAUCAGAAAGCCACGGCUAACUACGUG